CCAAUAGCGUAUAUUAAAGUUGUUGCAGUUAAAAAGCUCGCAGUUGAAUUUCGGGGUUAGUAGGUUGGUCAUGCCUCUGGUAUGUACUGGUCUCACUGAUUCCUCCUUCCUUAUGAACCGUAAUGCCAUUAAUUUGGUGUUGCGGGGAAUUUGGACUGUUACUUUGAAAAAAUUAGAGUGUUUAAAGCAAGCUAACGCUUGAAUACAUUAGCAUGGAAUAAUGAAAUAGGACGUUCGAUCUUAUUUUGUUGGUUUCUAGGAUUGACGUAAUGAUUAAUAGGGAUAGUUGGGGGCAUUAGUAUUCAAUUGUCAGAGGUGAAAUUCUUGGAUUUAUUGAAGACUAACUACUGCGAAAGCAUUUGCCAAGGAUGUUUUCAUUAAUCAAGAACGAAAGUUAGGGGAUCGAAGACGAUCAGAUACCGUCGUAGUCUUAACCAUAAACUAUGCCGACUAGGGAUCGGAUGAUGUUAAUUUUUUAAUGACUCAUUCGGCGCCUUACG
rnacentral:rRNA from 1 species